AUCACGCGUGAAAUUUUAUCUACGAUUUAUGAACAAAUUCUAUUUCGCCUGUUCCUUAGCUGUUUUCUUAUAUUUUUUUUUUCCUUCUUCCUUUUCCUUUCUUCGGCACGGAGAAUUUGACGCUUCGUUAAUCUUAGAAUCGCUUAUAUUUUUAGACCUUCUUGAACUGGCCUAUAUUAAACGAGGCUCUAACCUAUUAUAUAGAUAUUUUAAUUUGUUUACAGUUCAUGAUUAUUGUCGAGUUACACUGUCGAGUAGCCUCAAAUCGAUACACCUGCAACUUUAGUAACUUUCGAAGUAAAAGCUACAUCAUAGUCUAUUUUGUGGUAUGUUUUAUUCGUUGCCCUUUGCAAAAUUACGCUGUGCCUUCGAUGCUUUUUAUUUUAUUAAUUUCCCUCUAUCCGCCACUGUACAAUAUUCAUAAUUGAUUCGUAAUAUUUGCAAGAGACAUUUAAUUCGUUUUAAAAAUAUGUCAUUGAUACAUCGGGGUUAUUAAUCAACAAAUGUAAUCAAUAGAUAAUACUUAACAAAUGUAUCGUUACAUUCGUAUUUACAACGACGAAAGGGAAUUACUGUUGUUCGUAUUUACAACGAUGAAAGGGAAUUACUGUAACUCGUCUUUUUCGAUUUCCAGCUGUGGAAAAACAAAAUUCUCGUUCAACCAUCAAGGGAUUUUAAUCAAUCGUACAUUUUAUCUUUCACGAGCGAAUAUCGGUCUCGUACGAUUGAAAUAUCGUUCCAGAUAUUCGUAAUUAUUUCGAAUAAUUGACGAUGCGAAGUUCAGAGGAGCCAACGUUAAACUGCGCGGCUGUGCUUUCGAAGGGAACCGAAGUUUGGCUAAUUUUAUCGUUCGCUCGACACUUUCGUCGCUAUUUUUUGCUCAACGUCCCUUCUCCGCGACAUCCGUCUCUUUGUGAAAUCGUAGAAACUCCGUGUUUCUUUCGCCUCGACCAAUUCCGUUUCUUCUUUUUAAUUUGUAAACACGAGACGUUAACGUCCCAUUGCUCGGCCAUUUAUUAUCGAAGCAAAGCGAAACUUUUUUAGGAGAAAGAAUUCGGAUUAAAUUUCGAAUUAGAAACAUUACUCUGCGAAGAAAAUUCUUUUUUCCUUCUAUCGUAACCCGUGACCACAAAGAAUCUUCGUUUUAUCGAUAAAACUACCGUUGUUGCUUACUUUCAGAGGAAAACUUUCUUACGAAAAGCUUCAAGAAAAUUUCGUUAAGGAGAAUUCGGAUUAAUUUGUUGAUCAAAAACAUUGCCAGUUUUCAAGGGAAAUUCUUUUCUAUUCCAUUGUAAUCCACGAAGGAUUUUAUUAAUUAUCUUGUUAUUAGUAACACUCUGACGUUUUCUUGUUCUCAUAAAGCAGAGCACAACACUUUCUUACAAAGUACGAAUCGUAUUAAAACAAAGGAAUUGCGGACAAUGUUAAUUCCAAUCGAAAAUACUAAUCUCGAAAAAUUUGUCUGCGAUACAAGACAAAAAUACGUAAUUUACGAAAGAUCGAUACGUCGAUAAUUAAAAAGGGCACAGAAAAUAUUCCUAACGACGUCUUAAUCAACAUUGCAAGCCCGAGUUUUCCCAUUUUUUCUUUACUCUGCGAUCGCAGCUUUCAAUGUGCUCUCCCCCUCCUUUUCUUCUAUCGAGCAAUAUGCAAUCCCUCUCUCUCUCUCUUUUUUUUAACAGUUAAACGUGUAAUAGAACAGCGACCUGACCUGACCUGACCUGACAUAACAUCAUCGGACUUUUUUCUUCCUGGACUCUUAGUCAGGGAAUGGCUAAUGGAAACGACACGGGCAACGUGCACGAACACGAAAAAUAGAAUGCAACGGAUUCUGCAGCGAAAUUAUAGUUGAAACGUUAAUUGACUGGUCGGCGAAUCAAGUAUUGGGAAACGCGGCUGAAAAAAUCCAUCGAAAUAGAAAUCAGCUUAACAGUGUAUUAUAAAUUGCUGGGUAAAUUAAACGUCAUGUUUAAAGCAGGAUAAAUGCUUGUGUAACGUUACGGGGGAUGCGUGUAGAGGAUUGCGAAAGAGGAAAUUAUCCGUAGUUGUUGGGUAUUGUUGAAUGAGAAUAAAAAAAAGGAGAAGUCUAUAUAAAGUGGUUUUCUAAUGGAAUUGCUCAAGGUCGUUGUUAUAUCGUUUCAAGCGACUAUACUUGACGUGCGUGUAUCUAGAAGAUAAAAAUGUAAUGUAAUGCUUGUAAAAAUUAUUCAAAGAAAGGGAAUUACCUUAACAUCGUCUGCACUUUUUUCUGGUAAAUAAAACCAUCGCAAUUUCUUUGUACGUCUGUCAACAUCAAUUAAUAAAAUUAUCUGCCAUAAUUAUAGCAUCAAUCAAAUUCGAAGAUGGUAUCCCACUGGGGGUAGCCAUCCACAUGUUAUAAUACUAUAUCACUAAGCUAUAAUAUUUUACCAAAUGUCCUACUGGACAAAUUGUAAAAUGUAAAUAAAUAAAUAAAAAAAACAAAAAAAAUAAUUAUAGCAUGGUAUCGUAUUACCAAAACAAGUAUACCAUUCAGCAUAAUGAAACAAGCAAAAGAAUCAUGUUUUAAAAAAAUAAAUUCUUAUAAACAAUUGGAAAUCAUAAUCUCGAUACAUUUAACUGGACGUUUCCUAAUAAAAUCGUGCACCAUAAUAAAAUAGCCAAAGGAGUUUGUUGCGUCGGGCAACACUCUACCUGGACCAGGUCAUACACCGCGGGCCAGACGGACACCAGAUGUCCGCUGAUCCUUACGGCGUACCCUCAAUAGCCUUAAGGACCCGUCAUAAAUCCCAAUAAUUUGCUUGCUAAGGUCCUUCAGACCGAACAAAUAUCUUUUUCUAAAUCACUUUCUAAGGACUAUUGUCUAUCACGGCUGGACAAGGGAAAGUUGGGUUUUCCCACGUACGAUGCUUCCCAAUAGCAAAUUUCUAUCGAGGGCAGCUAAGACCCUUCCUAGUCCACCAACCUUCGUUUGACCAAUUAACAACGAAUCCUAUUUCCCUCACUCUCCUAGCCAAAAUCGUCACCAACAAAUCCGAUGGUCUCGUGCGCUAGACACACUCAUCCUUAGCUUUCCUCCGCUACAGCAUCGUCACCGAACAUCACUGAUCCUUCAUCCUUCAAACAUUCAACAUCCUUCGACCGGGUUUACAUCCGAAGAUCAGUCACUCACUUAUCUUAUGCAUACGCACCAGCGUAACUAUGUUCUUCGCAAAGUUGUUGGAAUAAACUGUCAUUUACAACUCGUUACAUCAGUGUCAUAUUCAAUUAACCACCUCUAUUAUCCUAAUCGAAAUAGGGGAUCGAUCAUUUCGUGGCGUCGAUUAUCUAAUCGUGACGGGAAUUUACGACUCCCGUUGGCGUGCAUCCUCGCGAUCGCGUCUCUCCGCGAGUGGUCGAAACAGAGUUGUCAAUUUCUAUUUCCACGAGGAGAAAAAGAUAUUUUCUUUGCUACGUCAAAAGAACACUGUACUGUGAUAAAAGGCAUCUCGACGUAUCUUUGUACCUAACUCAGCAUCUCGUAGCAAAAUUAUCCACCGUAAUUUACCACGUGUACCAGCGAAACAAGUAUGCUAUCCGCCAUAAUAAAAUACCUAGAGAAAUCGUCAACAUUUUUUUUUCAUAAAAGAAGAAAGGAAUUCUUUGAAUGACUAGCUAAAAAUCACCGCUACUCUCGUUAUUAUAAAACUAAAACUGUCUCAAAAUCUUCGUACAUCUAACUCAAUACUCUCUAGUACAAUCGUCCACUAGAAUAAAAUACUCGAAGGAAUUGCCAACUCCUCUUUCCAUAAAGAAAAAAAAAGAAAAGAAGAAAGUAAAAGGAGAGAAAUUCUUUCUUGACUACCCCGACAACUUACUACGACAGUAAGUUCGAUUUACUAAUGUCAUCAACUCCGCCUCUCCCUGAGAAACAAACAUCGAACAACGUCGCUCUAAUAAAACCAUCCAUCCGUAAUUCAUGGUACUUCGUGAAACAGCUACAUCAUCCAGCACGACAAAAUACUCCGAAAAAUCGUUCUUACACAAAAAAAAGAAGAAAAAAGAAAGAGGAGAAGUUCUUUCUUUAAUCACCCCAACAGCCACUUCGUUUAUCGAUGUAAUCGACUCCGCUGUUUCCGAGAAAGAUGACCGACACUCGGCAACAAAAAACCAUCCGCGUAAUUCGUACGUUCGUAUUCCUACGUACACAGAAGCGAAACGGCUACGGCAUCCACCGUAACCGAACACCCAAACAAACCGUCAACUUCUCCUUCCACAGUAGAAAAAAAAAACUCUUUGUUCACUGCCUCGAAAACUUGCUGCCGUAAUAAAACUGUUCAAAAAUCGCCGGUAUCCGUCUCAUCCACCGUUGACCAAACUUCUCUUUAAAACUCCUCCUCAUCGUCCCUGAUCCACGGACGAGAAGCUCGGCCUUCGAAACAACCCCGAAGUCAUCCUCACCCACCUACCUACCCCAUCCAUCCCUUUUGUGGGACGUCGUCGUUAUCCAAUUAGACGUCUCGAUUCCUGCCGCUGCCCCUCCAUUGUCCCGUUGUUUCUCUCUGGCAAUGUUUAAUAUCGGCGAAAAUCGCUAGGCUGCAGAGGCAAGGACGAUUAAAAAUGAACGCCGGGGCCGCGUGGGCCUCUAAGAAGCCGAGAAAGAACGAGAGGGUGGGCGUGGAUCGCGGGGGGUGAAAGCGGCGGACUGCUCUAUUGUGCGAAACUGUGUCACAGGGACUGGGCUCGGGCGUCCGUAAGGCAAGUGCGCAAAGUGAAGAGCCGCCUCUCGCCGUCCAUUUUUCCAUCUACAAAUGAUUUCUGCGGCGUUAUCGCUGGUGCGCGAAACUCUGCUUCUGGAUAGGGGGGAGAGAGGGGAAGCGCGGCCAGGGGGAGAGAUGCGCGCGGCCUCGUGAAAACUCAGAGUCUCGCGGAUUCGCAAUGGUUCGCCGCAUUUUUACAUUAACGAACGCCGAGCUACGGUUAUUCGCGUUAAUAAAGUCGACCACAUCGAGAAAUAUGGAAUGGACGAAACUGAUAACGAUAAAAACCGAAGAUACGAAGAAAAUGCCAACUGGCAAGUUUUGCAAAGACAAACGCGAAAUUGACACAGCAUUUUGCUCCGAGGACCAGAGAGAACAGAACGAAAAGAGAGAAACUCGACUGAAAUACUGUGAGACUGACGCGAGAACAGCCAACUACAACAGGUAGAAACUCGUUUAUCCGAAAGUUCGGAUAAGAGAGGCUCACCGGCUAUCCCCACCCGUUAUAUUAUAAGUUCGGAUACGAGAGGCUGCCGUUCGGAUGACCGAGUUUGUCUAAUUCGUUUUCACGAAUACACAAUCUUUGGUUUCGUGAUGGUAACUAUGGAAACGGCACGUAUCGGUUUACUCAACAAUAUGUCGUGCGAUAAAUUUGUGUGUGUGUGUGUGUGUGUGUGUGUGUGUGUGUGUGUGUGUGUGUGUGUGUGUGUGUGUGUGUGUGUGUAUAUAUAUAUAUAUAUAUAUAUAUGCGAAUACAAAUAUAUAAACGCUGCAGAUAUGAGGUGAGAAAAAAACUCGCGGUUCACGCUUUGUUUACGCCACAGAGUGUGCUCGUUGGUGCUUCUCCUCAGCCACACGCAGGACUUCGUGAAAUGCAAUAUAUAUAUAUACACACGUAAGAACAAGAUACAUCGGUGAUCCUCGUGUUAGGUAAUAGAGGCUCGCUUAGGAGUUCGUAUGUGUGAGGUUGGGUCUGAAUUUUUUGUACAAACGAGGUUCUACCGUAUCAACAAAGAGACGUGUAUUACACGUAGCGUUACACGUAGUACGAGGAUCAAAUGACGUAGAACUUCUUUGGUUCGUAACUUUGUAUUUCGAUAAGACGUUUCAGAAAGGUAGAAUUCGGUUGUUGUUGCCUCGCCACCGGGUUGCCACAAUGUUUACGCCGCAGCUUCGGUGAAAGCGGAGGGUCAGGUCGGAAGCUAAUUGCACGCGAGUUGUUCCACUUGUUCGUCGCUGUUGAAACGUCGUCCUCCUAACGUCUCUUUAAAUGGUCGCGAUUUUGUGGAACUCUGGCUCUCUCUCCCACGGAGGAAAAGCCAUACUUCCACGAAGUAACGUAUCGAGUUUAGAGCAAAUUUCGCCGACUGUUACCGUGCUCCGUCAGUUCCCGGAACAGCUUCGACGUUCGCUGGCGUUGCACCGGUCUUUUGGAUGCGAUCGACGUCCGCUAGAAAAACCGACUCACGCCGUGCAAACGCCUGGGUUCUUGAUAGUUUUUCACGUGUCGAGUUUCACAGCGACGGCGUAACGUCUUUGUGGAAAAUGGUGGCAAGAGGUUGCGAACGAGAGAUUACGUACCUCCUUAACAUUUAACAAGAUACGUUUCAAAUUUUGCUGCAAGUAGCGCGCUACAGAGACGGAACGAACUUAUGGGACGACGAAGAUACCUAAACAAUUUCCUAUUUAAGAACAAUAAUUUAUAAUUUAAAAUCUGUCAUUUAAUAGAUAUCUCUAUAUUUCUUCCUCCUCCAGCGUACAUCGAGAUCGAACGAGAAGAGGAAUGAGAAAUCUAUGUAAAGCAACAAUCUCCUUUUUAUAUCCAACAGGCAAAAAUUAACUAGACGUACGACGUAUACACGUUCCUUCCGCUGUCUUCGAUCGACAAAAAAUCCACCCUGCCGAUUCUCCACCGCGUGCAACAUCCCCAGAACACGUAAAAAGUGCGGUGGAAACUCGUGUAACCGACGCAACUCGAUUAAUCUUAUCAGAAGGACGAGGCAUCGACUCGUAGCUACUACCUUGGCUGCAAGGGUUUACUAGCUCCUGCCCCUAGAGAAGUGCGCUACAGUGCAACCAAUUGCAUCUUCGAGCGUCUCGAGGCUCGUGUUUCACCCUGCUUUAAGGACGACCUCGCUUCUAAUUAACAUAAAUACUCGGCCAACGACGGUUUACAGCGAGUUCAUUGUGCCGGCCACCCGCCAGCCUCCUCGCAAAUAUUGACGCACAGUGGAUUUUAUGGACAGAUUAUGGUUGCUCGAAAUGGGAUCGUAAAGCGUGAGUAGUAAGAGGGUGAUUUAGUUGGCUCGGGGUUGGCUUUACUUGGCGACCAGUAGACUGCGGAUUUUUCUGCAUUUGUGACAAGUAUGAUGCUUCGAAAUAUGAUACAAAGAAAUAUGUAUAAUAUCGAAGGUAUGAUCGUAAUAUUUAGUUAAUAGUAUAAUUGAAUUAAUAAAUACAGUUAACCAAAUUAUUGGCUAUACACAGUUAUAGUUAGUAAUAUAAGUAUAGUUAAUCAUUUAGUUAACACUAACCUUACCAGACCCGGUCAAAUGACCGGUUUUAAAAUUUAAUUUAAAAUUGUAUCUUCGUUCUUAUUUCUUUCGUUCGUCUAACUUUACGUAAAUUCUUCUAUUACCCUAUUAAUCAGUUUCUCAAUUAUUUACGUAAAGUUGGACGAGCGAAAGAAGCGACAACGAACGUACAAUACAAUUUCGAAUGAAAGUUCGAAGCCUGGUAAGGUUAGGUUAGGUUAAUAUUCGCUACUAUCGUCUUCCGAGAUCGAUGUAUAUAUCGUACGAAACAUAAAUACAUUAUUCGAAAUCUUACGGCUGGUAUAUCAAAGUACAAAAUUCGUCGAAGUGCUAACUAUGUAAUUUCAAAUAUUAUCUAUUCCUAGAAACACGAUAGCGUCCCAUUAAUUCCGAACAUCUAUCUGCUCCAUCUAUCUAGAACCCCGUUUGACGUAUUAUUCGUUCACCCUAUCUAACAUUCGAUACGUUCGAAAAUACAUAAUGGAAGUCGGUUUACACGAACGAAAUUUUAGCGGCGGCUGAUUACCUGAACAUUAGCCGAGCUUCUAUCACCUGAACUGCCGCUCAGCGUCAAUCCACCAUAUUACGUACACCUGUGGGACUCUUUUUACACGGCACCUUUCUUCCUCUACGCCAUUCACUUUAACACGGCUUUUUUAUUUUAAACGGUUUAUUCACUUCUACACGUUCUUUUUAACUCUUAUGUUAUUGAUUAUGUUAUUAACUCUUACACGUCCCGCUUGUUUUUCUUUUUUCACGCGUUUCAUCGUUCCACCGUAAACGAUACCAAUCUCGAACGUUUAACGCGAUUUCAAAGGGAUUUAGAAACUCGUAUGGCUUGUUACGCAGAAUUAUCAAAGGAAAGAACGUACGUCGACGCGACUGAUACAAACCGGUCAGAUCGGACGUAAACGAUACUUCGAACGACGAAAGUGACCUCUUCGCCGCUAAUCAGAAAGCUUGUAAUACGUGCUCGUACAAUAAUAAUAAUAUGGAAAGUGACGAUGACCAAAAUGUUGAUCUUUGGGAAAAGUAUUUUUCCCAUUUCCCUUAACGCGUUACCUUCUCCUUCGUGCGUUUAUUGAAUAAAACGUCGUCAUCGAACGCGCCUCUAUGUUUUAACCAGUUGGUUGUUGCGCGUAUCUAAGAUGCGUGGCAAAAAGUAAGCGACGACGAGUAUACUCGUCAAACGCAGAGUAUGUGUAACUGUUAUAACAUGGAAUUAAGUCGUAACCGAAUGACUCUUUUGUUUUUCAAUUUUAUUACUGCAAUUUACUGCCAUUACUAAAUUGCAAUUUAAACGGCAAAUUGCGAUUACUUUUUAAGCGCGACGAGUAUACUCGUCGUAACGCAGAAUGUUGCCAUUUCUUCAUGACGAGUAUACUCGUCGAUCAUACUGACGAGUAUAUCCGUCGAUCAUACUGACGAGUAUAUCCGUCGAUCAUACUGACGAGUAUAUCCGUCGAUCAUACUGACGAGUAUGUCCGUCGAUCAUACUGACGGGUAUAUCCGUCGAUCAUACUGACGAGUAUGUCCGUCGAUCACACUGACGAGUAUACUCGUCAAAAACAGCUAACUGGUUGAAUUGCUUCUUCUAUUGUUUGCUUUGAUUUAACACGAGUUUCGUACUCUGUUGCAAACUAAUCGUUUCACGACUUUUUUACACUUUUUACCACACCAACCCUGUAAAAACAGUCGCAGAUGCGUACGAACGUUUAUCACAAAAAGCUGACCACGCGUCGUAUGACACAAUUCGCAGUUGCUAAAAGUUUGCAAUGUUAUUAAACGUUAUUUGGGAGGAAAUGUUUCGUGGAAUCCUCUUAUGUCUCGUACGAACACGAACUCCUAUUAACCCAGCAAAAAAUCACAGGUGGAAAUAGGUCAUAGGGAGAAAUAGAUGGACUCCUAUUAUACGAACUAACUUGUCUCCCGUCAGUUUCACAUGAACCAAGUUCUGCUGUAUUACGAGUUUCCUAAUAACUAACCAAUUAAUGUUCGUUCAAAAAAUUUGUACGAUACACAGCGUUGCGAAUAAUUAUAGUUUCGAACAUACUUUCCGCGUUAUUUCCUCGAUAUUUCCAACGUACCAUUGAUCAUGCCUGGAUGUUCUAAGCGAAACCUUUUUUUCUUUUUUUCUUUUUGCAAAUGCUAUAGAAUAUUAGGAGAUAUUACGUUUAAUAACUAGAAUUGAGGUGAAGGGACGAUUCUUCAACGAGACAAUUGCCACAGUAAAGAUUUCGGAAUAGAAUUAUUACCGUGGCCGGUAUCGGAUGCCGAACUGUGGGUGAAUUCUAACAAGGAAAGUUUACGAUCAGGCCACCUGUAAAACAUAUCGUCGAACUUGGAGAAAGAAUAAAAUCCACGUGAGCGGAUAUUCGAAACGAAACUUUAAACAAGUUCAGUGGAUAGCGUGGCCAACAGAUUGAUAGAGAGCAAGAGUGGAAUACACGUUGCUAAUUUUGGGGUGGGACAAGUGGGUGGAAAAAAAUCGCUGGAGGACUCACCGUCAGAAAAUCCAGGGAAACGCAAUCGAUGAGCCACUACAAGAAUAUUCGAGUCGAGUACCGC